rnacentral:rRNA from 1 species
UACGUAGGGUGCGAGCGUUGUCCGGAAUUAUUGGGCGUAAAGAGCUCGUAGGCGGUGUGUCGCGUCGAUCGUGAAAACUUGGGGCUUAACCCUGAGCUUGCGGUCGAUACGGGCAUCACUGGAGUUCGGCAGGGGAGACUGGAAUUCCUGGUGUAGCGGUGAAAUGCGCAGAUAUCAGGAGGAACACCGAUGGCGAAGGCAGGUCUCUGGGCCACUACUGACGCUGAGAAGCGAAAGCAUGGGGAGCGAACAGG